UACAUGAAUAGCUCACUUGCAUGAUGUGCCC
rnacentral:piRNA from 1 species